rnacentral:rRNA from 1 species
UACGUAGGGUCCGAGCGUUGUCCGGAAUUAUUGGGCGUAAAGAGCUCGUAGGUGGCGGGUCACGUCGGGUGUGAAAGCCCGGGGCUUAACCCCGGGUCUGCAUUCGAUACGGGCUUGCUAGGGUCCGGCAGGGGAGACUGGAAUUCCUGGUGUAGCGGUGAAAUGCGCAGAUAUCAGGAGGAACACCGGUGGCGAAGGCGGGUCUCUGGGCCGGUACCGACGCUGAGGAGCGAAAGCGUGGGGAGCGAACAGG